UGGGGAAUCUUGGACAAUGGGGGCAACCCUGAUCCAGCGACGCCGCGUGGGUGAUGAAGGCCUUCGGGUCGUAAAGCCCUUUUGCCGGGGAAGAUGAUGACGGUACCCGGAGAAGAAGCACCGGCUAACUCUGUGCCAGCAGCCGCGGUAAGACAGAGGGUGCUAGCGUUGUUCGGAAUUACUGGGCGUAAAGGGCGCGUAGGCGGCCCGUUUAGUCGGGUGUGAAAUCCCGGGGCUCAACCCCGGAACUGCAUUCGAUACUGGCGGGCUUGAGACCGGAAGAGGUGGGUGGAAUACCCAGUGUAGAGGUGAAAUUCGUAGAUAUUGGGUGGAACACCGGUGGCGAAGGCGGCUCACUGGUCCGGUUCUGACGCUGAGGCGCGAAAGCGUGGGGAGCAAACA
rnacentral:rRNA from 1 species